GCUGAAUAUAAUUUGCGCCAAGUGGAAGUUUCAAAGUUUCAACCAAUUACCAUGCUUAGAAUAUAUCACGUGUUGUAGUAAUUCAAUCUUUUCACAUCAGCGCGCUAAGUUCGAUCUUUUGGGAGCAAACAUUCAAACAGGAAAGAUUUAUAUUCAAAUUUUCUGCUUAUAAAGAUCGAAAGACUUAAUAGAACACAAGGAGAUUGUUUUCAAAGGUAUGUCUCUUGUGUAUUUACUUAUUUGUAUGCGGGUAGUUACUUGACAGACUGUGUAGUUAUAUUUUUAAAUCGAAGGCCUGUAUUUUAUAGUCGCUUUGUGCCGAUUUUACGAAGGCAUCUAAACGUUCAGUUGUAAAUUUCGGUUUACAUAACAGUCUCUACUUAUCUGUAUUGCUAAGAAAAUCGUAUACGGCUUAUUUCUGUGAUAUACAUAUGUGUUGUUCUGUUAAGUAUUUGCUAUGUUGACACUUGACAUGUAUACUUUUAUAAUAAUGUGAUUUGUUUGAAAUAUGCAUAAUUACACUAUUGACGAAGGGCCUUCAUAAAUUUCGAAACGUCGACUCGAGUUGUUUUUUAAGGUAGUAUUUUUACAUUGGUACUACCCACACUUUUAAAGAGUAUUAGUAUAUAUUCACAUUAAUAGCAUGUAGACAGCCUUUCCCAAUGUGUGGCUUUAUCAGUCAGCCACUCAGCCUAAAACAUGUGCAAGGGGCCGCUUAUAUAAAGGCAAGCCAGUCCAGGUAACUAACCUGGUUAUAGCCCGCUUUCACUGGAUGAAUGUCUGUUUACAUGAGCCUCUUUAGAUGAACAUGCUUGCCAAAACAAAUCACCCAGACUGAGUUGUAUAAUUUCCAAUAAAAUAAAUUGACAUACUUUUGCACACAGUUUUGAAAUGUAACUUACAAAAAAAAUCACAGAGAUCUUUUAAUCCAUUGAGCCACAAUGCGCCCCAGUAUGCCCUACUUAUUUUUUUUGCUUGCUUAACGCCAGACGCUUUUACUCCUCAGUAGGGAAGCUCUGCAGCUUAAUGGGUUAACCAAAAAAUCUGACAAUGUCUCUAGUUAACCCAUUGAGCCGCAAUGUGCCCUAGUGCGACCGACUUAUUUUAUUUACUUGUCUACCGCCAGCAGUGGUGUAACUUUACUUUUUUGACCACUUGCCCUCAGGGCAAGUUGGUCAUAAAGAUUAGUUGCUCUGAAUAAAUUCACUUGCCAUCAGACAAUGGCUGCUUGGGGUACUUAAGUAGGGGGUAUAAAUUAACCCAUUAAGCGCCAGCGCUCUCCCCUUGACGAGUAAAAUCGUCUGGCGUUAGACAGAGUAAAAUGCUAAAGUAGGGUGCAUCAGGGUGCAAUGCGACUCAAUGGGUUAACUAGACACAUGGGCAGAUAGGCCAGUUAACCCAUUAAGCGCCAGCGCUCUCCCCUUGACGAGUAAAAUCGUCUGGCGUUAGACAGAGUAACAUACUAAAGUAGGGUGCAUCAGGGUGCAAUGCGACUCAAUGGGUUAAGGGGACAACAUGUCAACCUGUUCUCCCACUGCGCUAUAUGGCUAUGUUAUACUGCCUCAGAUAUAGCUUUGAUGCACAAAAAAUGAAAUUUGAACCAAGUCCAUGCACUAUAAAACAAAAUAUAUCUGACAAUGAAUAGUGGCAAGGCAACUUGCCCAAUCGGCAGCAAGAUAAAGUGUUUACUUGCCCAUCAUGAUAUUCACUUGCCCCAGGCAAGUGUUAAGUUACACCUCUGGCCAAAUGAUUUUACUCGUCAAUGGGGAAACUCCAACUCUACAGCUUAAUGGGUUAAUAUUCAAAUUGAUUGGGAAAUGUCAUUUAGAAGAUUACAUUAUGCCUAAACAAAGCAUGAAUACUGUGCCAAAUCCCGGGUCAUUGUAUAUAGUUUAUAUGGAAAAUCUUAGUUUGGCAUUAGCAACAUUUUGGGUCAAUUGUGGCAGUAUCUUAAGUUUAUUUAUUUAGCUUUGCCAACUAGGUGUCACCACAACAGCAUGUGCCAAUUACUGUUGGCUCUUUUACAUCACCCACCCUGUCAACUUUCCCUGUAGGAGGAAACCGGGGUACCUGGAGAAAACCCAUGACUUUCGACAGAGUGUUGACUUUUACUCUUCACAUGAGGACUGGGUUUGAGUCGCAUUGAGAAAGUUCUCACUGAGGCUUGAACCUGCAGCCUUAGAGGUGAAUGGCAAGUGCAUAUAACAGCUUUGCCACCGAAGCCCCCAUCUUCCUAAAAAAGUCCAGCUCAGUUCUAUAUUAUAAAGUAAAACACAAGUUGAAAUAUAUAGAAUAUUAUAACAAAGUCUGGAUCUCACCAAAACUGGGCCAGCUCAGGUACACAGGUGCCAUCACCUCAUAUAAACAGCCACUAAAUCUACCUUGCUGGAUUAUAUAGAAUGAUAUUUUUCAAUUAGGAAUUUUGGAAAAAACAGUUGUUAUGCACCAGUAUUUUAAACAGUCUUUUACCAGUGAGAAUAGUUGUAUUGGAUGCAGAUGUUACUUCAAUUGCAUGCUAGCCUUACAUUAAACAUGUCAAGUGAAAGCAUUUGAAUUUUGUAUUUCUUGCUUUGUACACUAACCAAAAAUAGGAAAUUCAUUGUCAAUCAAUCAAUAAUUUGCUACCAUUAUAUAUCAACCUUAAUAUGUAUUUUUUUCUUAAUAGAGAUUGUAUUUAAUAUGGAUUCAUUAUAUAUCCUGAUCCUGAAUGAAAAGUUAUUAAUAAAAGCUUCCCAGCAGAAGGCAAGUUGUCUAAACAAGUGGCAAUAUAUAUAAUCAUUAAUGGCAUUUUAAGUACUGCAUAGUCUAUUUGGAAAAUGUUAUUCUUUUGCUGGAGAGUAUGUUUAUGCAGGAUUAACAAACCUGACAAGGAAUGGAGUUGCUGACUUGUGGUAUGAAGCUUGUACUUUUAAAUUUUAACUAGUGGACUUGUAUGACAUGCUUGAUUGAGCAGUGACAACACUACAUGCAGUACAGGUAUAUUAUACUAACUUGUAAAUAUUCUACAUUGAAGAGAAUUAUGUUAACCUUUUAUGUGGCAAUGGGCUCUACCUUAUUAUUUUUUCUGUCUAAUGCCAGACAAUUUUACUCAUGAAGGAGAGAGUGUUGCCACUCAAUGGGUUAAAGCCAAAUUUCUGUAGAUGGAAAUUUUGAACAAUAACUAUGUAAUAAGUACUGUGCCGGGAAUGGAACCUGUUGCCCUGUGAUUCAGAACAGUUCCUUAACAGCCGAGAGUCCAUCAAGCCCUGAGAGUCCAAGCGCCAAGAAUCCAUCAAGCUAACCAAGAGUUCAUUUAUACAAUACUAGUGUCAUCCCAGUUUAUUUAAUAUACUACCAGUGACACCACCAUCAUGGUAUAAUUAUACAGAAAGUUACAUCUUGGCAAAAGGACUCUUUAGGUCAGAGGGCUGCAGUAGAAUUGCAGGGCUGCAGGUUCAAUUCAUGCUGGCAGGCUUGUAAUUGUAUUAAAACUGUCUGUAUACCAGUACCAGCGUGGGUAGUACCAAUGUGAAAUUGCUGUGCUGAGUGGUUAUAUUACUACCUGAAAAAAAAAGCAAACAGAAACUGAAUGUUUUGAGCAAAGACCCUUCGCUCGAAAUGUUGAGUUUCUGCUUGUUUUUUUUUUGAGGUAGUAAUAUAACCACUCAACACAGCAAUUGUAAUUGUAUUCCUUUGCAAUUGCUCUCACAUAGUUCUAAGGUACCUGUAGCUCUAGUUUAUUUAAUUGUCUUAUUAUAUUGUAAUGAUAUAUUUUUUAUUAAAUUCCAUGUAUAUAAU